rnacentral:RNase_P_RNA from 1 species
CUGGUGCGUCAGGCAGCUGCCCCGUUCAUCUCCGAUGACCGGGGAGGAAAGUCCGAACACCACAGGGCAAAGCGCCCCGCAAGAAAACCGGAUGCGGGUCAUUCCGUACCUGGUUCAUCAAGCGGGGGUUCUGCAGGCAACAUCCUGCAGAAACGGAAAGUAUCACAGAAAACAUACAUCCCGGUUUCUUCGAAAGAAGCAAUCUGGAAACAGGUGAAAAGGUGGUGUAAGAGACCACCGCAUCGUCAGUAAUGACGAUGGUCGCGAAAGCGAUCCCGAUAGCUAUCGGGACAAGAGAAACCCCGCUUGGUGCAAGACCAUGUAGAUCCCGUUUCCCGAUGAGCGAACGCUCAUCGGGAGGAGAGUUGCCCGCACAAGUUCACGCAGGUGAAGACGGGAUGGGUAGGUCGCCUAGAGAAAUGGCUGCCUCGUUUCGAUGAAUGCCCGUCAUUCAUCGGGAUUAGACAGAAUUCGGCUUAUCGAUCAACCGCUUCA